rnacentral:misc_RNA from 1 species
GAAAUAAUCUGCUGAGCCUGAUAAGAGCUUGACAGAGAUUUCCGAUGUGAUACAGGAGCUGGGCCAAUAACACCAUGCUUUGCAGGCGCAAUUGGCAAAUUAGGCUUCCCUUGAUCUCCAGUAUAUCUUUCACCCUCAGUAAAUCCAGAAAAAGGCAACAACUUAUGAUGCUUAGUGUGAGGGAUUGGCCUCAUUGCAGCAACAUUUAGUUUUUGUGCAACAUUUCCUCCAUUUUCAUAUUCAAGGCCAGUAGAACUGAAGGGUUUAGUUUCUCUGCAUGGCUCAGAUCUUUUUCGACGAGGUGCAGGAGCUAUCAACCAGCAAGGAGGCUUGGUGAGAAUGAAAUUAUUAGCAUAGAUCUCUUUGCCUUGAUUUGAACAAAAGAAAAGGAUGCGCUCUGCAUCAUCUUUCUCAAAGGAAGCUACAGACAAUCCUUGAAUGCUAGCAAUUCCUAGCAUAACUAAGCUGCGGUAAGAUACAUCUGGUGCCAGUUGCCGCAAAACCUGUGAUGCCCAUCUAGGAACCUUCAACGAAACUUCAGAAACACUUGCCCCACAAGCUAUAGAUGCAGACUUCCGAGGCUCAGAAGUAGGCGAUUUGCUUUCCUCAGAGGUUGGCAGUGCAUGGACUAGCUGACUAUUCUCUAUAAGCUCAUUCUUUAUAUGAUUCUCCAAAAGCUGAUCGUUAAAACAAGUCUGUGCACUGCCAGAUACUAGAAGUGAUAUAUGAGCUGAACUAGAUGUAGAUAAAUCACAUCGCAUGGUCACUACACCACGAGAAAAUGUUCCUGCCUGUAGAGGAGGUGGUGGAGCACUUGUCCGAUUAUGAAGUUUACUCCCACGAAUUUCAAUGUUUAAGAGA